UACGUAGGGACCAAGCGUUGUUCGGAUUUACUGGGCGUAAAGGGCGCGUAGGCGGCUUGACAAGUCACUUGUGAAAUCUCCGGGCUUAACUCGGAACGGUCAAGUGAUACUGUCGGACUAGAGUACAGAAGGGGCAACUGGAAUUCUCGGUGUAGCGGUGAAAUGCGUAGAUAUCGAGAGGAACACCUGCGGCGAAGGCGGGUUGCUGGGCUGAUACUGACGCUGAGGCGCGAAAGCGUGGGGAGCAAACAGG
rnacentral:rRNA from 1 species